rnacentral:antisense_RNA from 1 species
CUCGGUCCGGAGCUUCCGGUCGCCGCGGCCGACCAGCUGAGGGUUCCCGGAGAUAUGGAGCGGGGUCAGGGAGGCCUGGUGGCGCCUCCUGGAGUCUGGGACGAGCGGCGGUCGGAGGAGCAGCCCAGGUGGGGCGAGGGUACGGAGACGCUAUUCCCCUCCGAACUCUGAAGCAGCCAGGUCAGUGUCGGCUCCGCGAGGGCUGGAGUUCACGAUGACAGCCGGCAGAGCAUCUGAUGCCACGUGGAGAGGCGAAGUACAUGGGUCGGAUUCUACGCUGGGAGCCGGCCUGGAUCUGCGCUUUAGGAAGCCACUGCGGGCGACCCUAUCUUGUCGCCAGGACUUCGCAUCUGAUGAGCCUCAGGGCACACAAGUUAGAGAGGCUUGUGCCGGCUGAUGUGGCUUUUCUUUUUCUUGGUUUCCGAUUAGUAAACGACCUUGUGACUUCUGGCUUGCUCAGGAAGACCAGAAAAAAAGGCAAUAGGUAACGAAUUUUUCUUUUUUUAAAGAAACAGAUUAUUGGCCGAGGAAAAACCAAUUUCGCUCUAAAGGAUAAGCAACAAAAUACUGAGAGGGGAAAAAGCCUACACAAAUGGAAACAUACGGAACAAAAUCAAGGAGCGACCAGUUCCGCAUGGUUACACUAAAAUGCACUCCCACACUCUGGCUUGGCUGAAGAUAACCAGCAAGGUCUGAACAGUUUAAAACCCUUCCAAGGACUGCAGCAGCACUAGACACACAUGAGAGUCGAGAACAGUAUUGGAUUUAUUGUUAGGGUUACAAUUUUCACGAUCUUUGCAUGCAAAACUUGCCACUCUGAGCCCAGUGAACUAUUUUUAUUUGGUUUACUUACUGGCUUUAUGGAUGACUAGGUAGAGAUUUAACUAAAGAACACUUCUGCUGUGGUCUGUAAUGAUGAAUUUUCCCGUAGUGUCAUUUCUAUAAUGGAAUAGGCAAACUGACCAUUUAGAAUGUGAUAUUCCUAAAUCACAUUCAAAUCAGUCUUAUCAGAGACUUAUAAUCAAUAAAAAUAAAGCACCAGGUGGCUAGAGGUAGUUUUUGACCUCAGCUUGGGCCUCAGCAAAGAUUUUGCGUGUGUUUUUUUUUUUUUACUACGUUAAAACAUCAGAGUUUAAGACACUUUUCUUUUAGCAUCAGAAAUACUCUCAGCUGAAUUUAGAGAGUUGAACUAUCCGGAAGAACCCUGGAGAAGGAAGGUGAUUUAUUUUCAACUUUCUGAUUUACCACCGACUUAAAUCAACCAAUGAGUUCUUUGACCAAAAAAAAAAAAAAAAAAAAAAAAAAAAAGUCAAGACUUGUGAUGUUUCUAUUUGUUUUGUUUUGUUUAGUUUGGUGUGUGCUUACUCAUUGUCCCAUUCUUUUGAUAACCUAUAUUUGUCUGCCACAAGUUAAACAAAAAUAAAUGAAAUAAGGAACACACCAAAAUCCUGCACUUAGGCCCUGUAUAGACAGUGUGUUCCAAACCUAAGGAGGUGUCUGCAACAGGGGAGGCUGCUGAGUGACUCUGCAGAAAACGGAUGACAUCUGUUAAAUGUCAAACACCAUCACGUUGUACUUCAAGUUGUACUUUACUUGGAACAUGGAAGCCAUCUGUCUGGAGCUCCCACGUCCAUUUCAAAUCUUCAGGGUUCCCCAUUCCAGGGGAGGAGAUGAACCUCCUGACACCGUCCACUCCCCUCCUGCCUCCUUCAAACAUCAUCCCUUUUUUCUCCCUAAUCCCUAAAUGUUUCUGCACCCAAGGGCUCUACCCCAAUAAACACAGCUAAGACUCUUUGAUUCUGAAAAUGUCUUUCUUUAACGUCCCACCCUCCAGAAUCUAUUGUCGUAUGUUUUGUUCUCCAAAGGUAAUAAAAAUAAAUGUGGA